rnacentral:rRNA from 1 species
GAUCCUGGCUUAGAACGAACGCUGGCGGCAUGGAUUAGGCAUGCAAGUCGAACGAAGCAGCAAUGCUUAGUGGCGGAAGGGUGAGGAACGCGUGAGUAAUCUGCCCUCAAGUUGGGAAUAACAGCUGGAAACGGCUGCUAAUACCGAAUGUGGCUGCAAGACCGCAUGAUUUUGCAGUUAAAGAUUUAUUGCUUGAGGAUGAGCUCGCGUCCCAUUAGCUAGUUGGCGGGGCAACGGCCCACCAAGGCGAUGAUGGGUAGCUGGUCUGAGAGGAUGGUCAGCCACACUGGGACUGAGACACUGCCCAGACUCCUACGGGAGGCUGCAGUCGAGAAUCUUGGGCAAUGCGCGAAAGCGUGACCCAGCAAUGCCGCGUGCGUGAUGAAGGUCUUCGGAUUGUAAAGCGCUGUCAACCGGGACGAAGUUCUGACGGUACCGGUGAAGGAAGCCACGGCUAACUACGUGCCAGCCGCGGC